ACGAACGCUGGCGGUGUGCCUCACACAUGCAAGUCGAACGGGGGUAGCAAUACCUAGUGGCGGACGGGUGGAGUAAUCACUGUGGGAAUCUGCCCUCGAGUGGUGAAUAACUGGCCGAAAGGCUAGCUAAUGUUGCCAUACGUCGCAAGAUAAAAGCAGCAAUGCGCUAGAGGAUGAGCCCGCGUCCGAUUAGCUAGUUGGUAAGGUAAAGGCUUACCAAGGCACCGAUCGGUAGCUGGUCUGAGAGGAUGAUCAGCCACAAUGGGACUGAGACACGGCCCAUACUCCUACGGGAAGGCAGCAGUGGGGAAUUUUACACAAUGGGGGAAACCCUGAUGUAGCGACACCGCGUGAGCGAAGAAGCCUUUUGGGGUGUAAAGCUCUGUCAGCAGGGACGAAAAAAAUGACGGUACCUGCAGAGGAAGCAUCGGCUAACUACGUGCCAGCAGCCGCGGUAAGACGUAGGAUGCAAGCGUUGUCCGGAUUUAUUGGGCGUAAAGAGUUCGUAGGUGGUUCGUUAAGUCUGGUGUAAAGACUGGGGCUCAACCCUGGGAUCGCACUGGAUACUGGCGGACUGGAGUGCAGUAGAGGCAAGCGGAAUUCCCAGUGUAGCGGUUGAAAUGCGUAGAUAUUGGGAAGAACACCGGUGGCGCAAGCGGCUUGCUGGGCUGUAACUGACGCUGAGGAACGAAAGCUAGGGGAGCAAAUGGGAUUAGAUACCCCAGUAGUCCUAGCUGUAAACGAUGGAUACUAGACGUAUCGGGUAUCGACCCCUGAUGUGUCGCAGCAAACGCGAUAAGUAUCCCGCCUGAGUAGUACGGCCGCAAGGUUGAAACUCAAAGGAAUUGACGGGGGCCCGCACAAGCGGUGGAACAUGUGGUUUAAUUCGAAGCAACGCGAAGAACCUUACCAAGGCUUGACAUGUCCAGAACCUCGUAGAAAUAUGAGGGUGCCCGCAAGGGAGCUGGAACACAGGUGGUGCAUGGCUGUCGUCAGCUCGUGUCGUGAGAUGUUGGGUUAAGUCCCGCAACGAGCGCAACCCCCGUUGUUAGUUGCCAUCAAGUAACGUUGGGCACUCUAGCGAGACUGCCGGUGACAAACCGGAGGAAGGUGGGGGACGACGUCAAGUCAUCAUGCCCCUUAUGCCUUGGGCUACACACGUGUUACAAUCCACGGGACAGAGCGAUGCAAACUCGCGAGAGUGAGCGAACCGUCAAACCCGUGGUCAGUUCAGAUCGUAGGCUGCAACUCGCCUACGUGAAGUCGGAAUCGCUGGUAACCGCCGAUCAGCACGCGGCGGUGAAUACGUUCCCGGGCCUUGUACACACCGCCCGUCACGUCAUGGGAGCUUGGUCACGCCCGAAGUCGGUAUAAAAGCCGCCUAAGGCAGGGCCGGUGACUGGGACG
rnacentral:rRNA from 1 species